CAGGCUGGUCUUCAAAUUCCUGACCUCAGGUGAUCCACCCACCUCGGCCUCCCAAAGUGCUGGGAUGAGCCACCAUGUCCAGCCUCUUUUUACUUUAUAAUUGGAUUUUUAUGCUUUUGUCUUAUAGUAACUUAAGAUAUGGAACUGUAACCGUAACAGUCCAUUGCCCAUUGUGCGUGACAAGUCAGUAUGCAAGACCCUGGGCUGCAGCAAAGAAAGAUGUUUAAUUGGAAGGCCACCGAAUGAGGAGACUAGAGGAAACUUCAAAUCUGUCUCCCUGAGGGUUUAGGAAGUGGGCCAAGAUUACAGACAAGGGAAGUCCUGGCUGCAUUGAUGGAGAUUCUCCAUAGAUGCAAAUUUCUUCCACAAAAGAAAGCUUUGCAGCACCACUUCUGUUUGCUGGCCCUCUGACAGCCAUCUCAAAAUAUGUCAAAUAAAUGUAAUUUGAGGGUCUUGCUUUGUCACCCAGGCUGAAGUGGAAUGGCACAGUCAUGGCCCACUGCAGCCUUGAUCUCCCAGGCUCAAGCGAUCUGCCUGCCUCGGCCUCCCAAAGUGCUGGGAUUACAGGCGAGAGCCACUGCACCCAGCCAGUUCUGUGUUCUUGACUGUUAAUGAAAGAGGAGAGGACAUGGGAAGAUUUGAAACCAAGCUAUCUCUCUGCUUUGGCAGAUAAACAACAUUUAAAUUCUAAAAACUGCAGCCUUGGUAUAAGCAAACUGGAAGUUGGCAUAAUGGAGUAUCGUCCCUCACUUUGUUCUCACCAUAGAUACAGCAUAUACAGGAGCAAUUGGAAAAUCAAUAGGUUCUACAGCAGCGUCAGCAAAUGCUGUUUUAAAAAAAAGGGGGAGGAACAGGGUCUCGCUUGCUGUGUUGCCUACGCUGGUCUCAAACUCCUGGGAUCCUCCUGCCUUGACCUUCCAAAGUGCUGAAUUACGGGCAUGAUACCCAGCCUACGCUAUCAUUUUGACCAUACUUCAGAUGGACUUAGCAAAUCCAGACACUCUUGAGCGUGUGAGAAAACAUAGUAACUUAUGAGAAAGAAUCUCAUUUCUAAAGCAUGAAUAUGCCUAGAUUUUUGUGUCUUUUAGCCCUAGGUAUUAUUCUGAUUAAUAAAUGGAAAGGAUGGUGUUUCUUACCUGAUGUCCACACAUAAGACUUUGAGAGGCCAUCAUGAUGGCUUUCAUUCCUGAAGCACAAACUUUGUUUAUGGUGGUACAUGGAGUAGAAAUAGGUAAGCCUAAAACCAAUAAGUCACUUUUGAAAAACAGAUACUCAAACACAACUGCAGAACUUAAUAGAGCAUGUUACUAUAAACUACAACAUUUCUUCCGCCAAUAUAACUACAAAUUAUAUAAUGCAUUUAAUAUUUAAGCUUAAAUAACCUUCAUUUUGCCAUUUUAUACUUUUUUUUUUGA